rnacentral:misc_RNA from 1 species
AAUUCAACAAAGUCCUGGUAAUCCUUUCAUUUUCAAACCAGAGGCUCACUCAAAGAGGUUGUUAGAGCAAUCAGGACAGUAAAUAUUCUCUUUUUGGCAAGUAAGCCUUUCUCAAGGGUCUCCAAAACUGCAAGUUACCAUUAGUGAUGAGGAUGAUCGCACUCUAAAACUGAUAACCUUGCUCUCACACCAAAAUUGACGUAAACCAGGAAUUUAGGACAGAACUACAACAAAAGUUGAAAAAGUUUGGAAGGAGUACAAGUCCUUCAAAGGACCUCAAAAGAUCUAAUCCUCGAAAUUAGCACAUUGGUUCUGGAAUAAUGUCGUGGUUUCAAAUAGAGCUCAAUGGCAAAAAUGGCUCCACAAAACCAACCCCAACUAGUUUGGGAU